GGUUGAUCCUGCCAGUAGUCAUAUGCUUGUUUCAAAGAUUAAGCCAUGCAAGUCUAAGUAUAAGCUAAUUUAUACGGCAAAACUGCGAAUAGCUCAUUACAACAGUUAUAAUUUACACGACGAUCAUUACCAAAUGGAUAUCCAUGGUAAUUCUGGAGCUAAUACAUGCAAAAACACCUGACUCUUACGGAAGGGUGGCAUUCAUUAGUACUCAGAACCAAUCGCGAGCAAUCGUGUAUCUGGUGAUCAUAAUGACGGAGCGGAUCGCAUUUCAUGCGACAGUUCGUUCAAGU
rnacentral:rRNA from 1 species